GAACUCAAGCGCCUUGAGAACAUCACGCACAAGGAAGCCUUCUUGUCGUCUCUGAAGAUAUGGCAAGUAUGUGGACAUUUUAGUAAAGGUAGUGGAGGAUCUGAGGCAGUCAGUGAAGCCAAAGCCCAAUGUCAAAAGGUUAAUGGCUUCAUUGGAAGAAAAAUCUCUGCAGUCUCCCCGGAAAUCCCUCCGUUCUAAAAUAAAAAACCUCACCCCAAGUGAAGGGUUGACCCAUAAUCAAGUGAGAACAAGACUAAUACUUGUAUAAUUUUCAGAUAUUAUAAUGUUGUUGUUGUUGUUACAUUAAUAGGAAAUUGCACAACUGGAGAUAAAAUGCAUUGUGUUGUUGUUAACUUAUUAUCCACAGCCUUGUGACUUUUAUUUUUCCAGGCUUUUAGGGGGUGAUCAGGUCUUAAGGUCAUUAUCCUGAACUUGCAUCCAUUCCGUUCUCAUGAAUGCAUAUAUGCUGUCUGCUUUAAUGAAAAGAUCUACGUAUGUGUGCGUGCAUGCGUGUGUGUGUAAUAUUAUAAGUGUGUGUUUAUACAUUCCAGGACAUUGAAUCCAGAGAGGCAGAGGAAGACAUGGCAGGAAACACCAUGGGUAUCUACAAAGUACAAUCAGAGGAUCAUGGUCAGGGUGAUGGACGCUUCACUGAUGUCCGUGUUGUGCUGGAAGGUGUGGAGGUUCUCCACAACCUGCAGAGUGUCACUCAUGCAGGGGUAUGUUAUAUGGCCUGAUCUACGCACUCAAUUUGAACUACCCUAAAAGCCUGAAGUGUACAUUUUGAGGUGUAUCAGAAAAUCCUGAUGGACCUGGACUCAACCAAGCUUUCCCCGAAAGUACAGACACUGAAACUGAAAUUGCUCCAGUGAUUUGGCUAAAAAUAAUAACUUAUACAGCCCCUACCCAUUUUUUUUUUCACAUUGUGCUCCAACCCAGAGAUAUGUUAAAAUGAUUUCCUAGUUCUAUAAUGAUAUGUUAAUUAGCAACUGAAAAUGGAUCUCUGAGUACAGUUUUA